CUGCCGCUGCUGUUUCUGCUUCUACCGCUACUGCUUCUCUUCUUCAUAAAAAAAAAACGAAGAUUCGUUAACGAAAUCCAUCAAAAAUAUCAGUUCUUCUCUAUUCUCUUCAUCAAUACCAACUGAUAACGAUCCAUCAACAACAUCAUUUCUUGAAGAUUUGUUCUGAAUCUAUAAAGAAUAAUCGAUGAGGAUCAUCAACAACAAUCAGAUUACAUCUCUUAUUUGGAGGCUGGGGUAGCUUCAGUUGAUGUAAAGAAGCUUAAAGAUGUUGAUCUAUGCACAGUUGAAGAUUUUGCAAACUCUCCUUGGAAAAAAUUACUUCUAAUCAACGGAAUUAGUGAAGCUGAAGUUGAUAAGAUCAUCGAAGCAGCGACAGAACUGGUUCCAUUGGGUUUUUGUAAGAACUAUUUUGCUAGUUAAGUAACUCUUGUUCAAUCAAGUUACUUUUCAAUGCAUCAUAUAUGUCAUAAAUAUGAUAAAGGAAAUUGUUGAUACACCUUCAUUCAUCUCCCUGUUGGUUGGUGAUGGUUGGGCCGCUGGGGUCUUGAUCAGGUCCGCCAUGUGUAAAGAAGUGGGGUUCCUGAAGGUGAGUGGAUGUAUAUAUAAUGGGUGAAGACGAAAAAACUGCUGGUUCAUUUAUGUUGCCUUAAAGCAGAUCCAUGUUGUUCCCUGAUUUUGAUAACAACUUCAUUUAUGGUACACACCCCUGAUCUGGGCAGAUAUUUGAUUGCCAGUUCGUAUGAAGAACAGUUCCGCAGUGUCUUGAAUGGUUCCGUAAAGACAAUGGCGCAAAGAUGAGGGUCAGGUUACAAUCUCUCAACAAGGUGACGAUAUAGUUGGUUAGGAGCAAUUAGAUAAGGAUACAAAUGUUAGAUGAGCAUUUCUUAAAAUAUGCCGGACUAUAAGAUCUAUGAGUGCAUCGGAAGUGCCGACGGCAUGACUUACAUGGAAUACAGACACAAAAUAAUCGAAGCAGGCCCUGAUAGAGCUCAUACAAUGGUGGUGACCAAUGAUGGAAAGCCCUUUACCUUUGGCUAUAAUAAGCAUGGACAAUGAGGAACAAGCUCAGCAAGCACUGGUCAUGGCUGGUCAUGUUUUACUUAAGUUCACAGUUUUGUCAGACCUGGAACCAUCUCUCAAAGCUCUUAAAGAUAAGCUCUUGACUUUGUAAUGAGCAUUGAUUGUUAAUUGGUAAAGAUAGUUCCAGGGCAUUGAUUGUGUUACAUUUUAACUUUUUGCCCAAUAUUGUGAAUGUGUGAAUUACUUUGAUAGAAAAUUACUUGGCUUUUUUCAGUGGGUUGUGAACUCUCUACGGUUGAGCAGAUUCAUUCGUGGAAGCUUCCCUAUGGUAACGCAAGCUGUUGAGGACAAAACUGAACUUAACGAAUCAAGAUAUUAACUUAUCCCCUGAAUAAGAUUUCUCUUCUGAUGAAGAAACGAAGAAGGGUUCUGUUGGUUUGAAUCAGUCACUGAGGAACUUACAUUCUGUUAAAUUGAUUCAGGAGUUGAAGGAACAACCAGAAGUAGUUUCGAAGAGUGUUUCUAUUGGAGCGACAGACAGAAGUUCGGGUUCUUCUGAGGAGGAGGUAGUGAGUUUGUGUUUCUUAUGAUUUCCCUGUGUGUAUUAAGCUGUAGGCUAUGUUUUUUUUAGUGGAGGUUUAUCAUACAGAAUAUAUACAAUGUUUCUAUAUAUAUCCAGGAAUCUGCAACUAUAUUUUCCAUGAACUGAACUUAACUUAGGAACUAAGUAUGUUUCUAAUGUGUACACUAGUUUGUUGUGAUACUUGGAAUACAUUUGUAUUAAAUACUAC